UACGUAGGGGGCGAGCGUUGUCCGGAUUUAUUGGGCGUAAAGAGCUCGUAGGCGGCUUGUCGCGUCGACUGUGAAAACCCGCGGCUCAACUGCGGGCCUGCAGCCGAUACGGGCAGGCUAGAGUUCGGUAGGGGAGAGUGGAAUUCCUGGUGUAGCGGUGAAAUGCGCAGAUAUCAGGAAGAACACCCGUGGCGAAAGCGGCUCUCUGGAACGGUACUGACGCUGAGACGCGAAAGCGUGGGGAGCGAACAGG
rnacentral:rRNA from 1 species